rnacentral:rRNA from 1 species
GGGUCAGUAGGUUGGUCGUGCCACCGGUACGUACUGGUCUCACUGAUUCCUCCUUCCUGAGGAACCGUAGUGCCAUUAAUUUGGUGUUGCGGGGAAACAGGACUGUUACUUUGAAAAAAUUAGAGUGUUUAAAGCAAGCUAACGCUUGAAUACAUUAGCAUGGAAUAAUGAAAUAGGACGAUCGAUCCUAUUUUGUUGGUUUCUAGGAUUGACGUA